GACGAACGCUGGCGGCGUGCCUAAUACAUGCAAGUCGAACGCAGUUGCGAACGGGUGAGUAAUGCGUAGGUAACUGCCUCAUAGCGGGGGAUAACCAUUGGAAACGAUAGCUAAUACCGCAUACUGUGAGAUGGACCUGCGUUGUAUGAGGUAGUUGGUGAGGUAAAGGCUGACCAAGGCGACGAGUCAUAGCCGACCUGGGAGGGUUGUGGGCCAGACUGGGACUGAGAGACGGGCCAGACUGCCACGGGAGGCAGCAGUGGGGAAUGUGGGGCAAUGUGCGGAAGUGUGGACGAGCAACUCCGCGGGAGUGAAGUAGGUUUUGGGAGCGUUAAGCUUUGUUGUUAGAGUAGCGGUAGCUGGCCAGGAAGGGACGGCUAACUACGUGCCAGCAGCCGCGGUAAUUC
rnacentral:rRNA from 1 species